rnacentral:tRNA from 2 species
UCCCUGGUGGCUCAGAGGUUAAAGCGUCUGCCUCCAAUGCAGGAGACCCAGGUUCGAUCCCUGGGUUGGGAA